rnacentral:rRNA from 1 species
UACGAAGGGUGCAAACGUUGCUCGGAAUUAUUGGGCGUAAAGCGCGCGUAGGCGGUUAUUCAAGUCGGAUGUGAAAGCCCUCGGCUUAACUGAGGAAGUGCACCCGAAACUGAGUAGCUAGAGUACCAAAAAGGGUCGCGGAAUUCCCGGUGUAGAGGUGAAAUUCGUAGAUAUCGGGAGGAACACCGGUGGCGAAGGCGGCGACCUGGGUGGAUACUGACGCUGAGGCGCGAAAGCGUGGGGAGCAAACAGG